AUCGAGAAUCGCCUAGGAGACAAUUCUCCAGCCAUGUCUGUGAGGGAAGUUCUAGAUUGGACUAAUUGCAGUUGGAAAGACCCACUUUAACUAUAGGAGGAGAAAGUGUGUUCCCUCUGCCUUGUUGACGAGAGAUGGAAUAGCAGGAAAACACCAGCAUGGUGCACGAAGGUCAGCACAGACAAGCUGGAUCACGAAGCUGGCUGGCAGCACAGCACGAGGCAGGGCAAGCUAGCCGGCAUGCUGUGAGAGAAAAACGAAAUGCAACACCUGACCCCAAACUCACUAAAAACAGAAAAGAAUCUCUGAGGAACACGGUUGAUUUAAUGAAGUAAAUUGGAGAGCACAUAAUCGAUUAGAAAGAAAAGAAUCAAAUUGAAAUUUGUAAAAGUUGAAGACUGUGCUGUGGUUACAUGACCAAAUCACACCAUUUGUAAGAAAGAUAUACAGAAGAAUUUAUAAUACAGAACCAUGUAUAUUACUCCGUCUCAAAUAUUUCAGCUAGUAUAUGACUCCAAACAGAUAAGAGGUGAAAGUUGGCAACUAAAGGAUUGUGGGGGCACAAAGCUGCCAUCCCAGCACUUGGGAGACCGAAGCAGGAGGAUCCCAACUUCAAGACAGUGAGACCCU